rnacentral:misc_RNA from 1 species
CUGCUCGGCCCAUUCGUCCGACACGCCCGUGCGCACACCACACGCGGUACAGGCGCAGUGUCGCGCGCGGAGUCUGCGCGAACGCAUGUGCUCCAGAUCUGUUUCUCAUUCGAAUCUGACCCAUUUUAGCUGUCGUGAAGUAAACUGUUGAAAGAGUGAUAGGAUGCAAAAUAUUGUGAUAUACUCGGAGGUCGUUUACACGUCUUUUUAGCAGAGGUACAUGCGUAAAGUUCGCGACUCAAUCGACACGAAAUGCCAUUGACGAUGUGUUUGACAAAACUAAGUGCAGUGCAAAUUGUUUAGUGUGAAGUGCGUUUGCUCGUGUGUGUGGACAUUCAUACACUGUGUUGCACACAGGAUGUGUGUGUGCGUGCUGCUGCUGCUGUUCGCUGCGCUUCCAGCGCUCGCUGGUCCUCGCGGUGCUCCCGUGUCCGCGGUCCCCGUUGGGCCGGAGUUCGAGGCCGGCCAGCAGACCACGGUGCUGGCGCGUGUGGGCGAGACCGCU